rnacentral:ribozyme from 14 species
AUUUUUUUUAUUUAUUUUUUAGUAAUCCGCAAAUUGAUCAAACAAAGAAACAUUUAACAUGCGCUACUACAUCAACAACAAAUCCCCGUCGAAAAGCUAUUAUGUACCAAACUAAGAAUAGUAAGACACCACAACACACAAAAAAGUAACGGACAACCACAACAAACAAUUA